rnacentral:pre_miRNA from 1 species
GAUGACAAUUUUGUGAUUAUCUGAUGGCAUGCGGUCUAACGCAUUUGUGGAUAAUGCAACUAAUUCAUU